rnacentral:rRNA from 1 species
AACGCGAAGAACCUUACCAGGCCUUGAGAUCCAGUCCGAUAAGUGGUAAUGCACUUAGACCUACGGGAGGACUGAGACAGGUGGUGCAUGGUUGUCGUCAGCUCGUGUCGUGAGAUGUUGGGUCAAGUCCCGCAACGAGCGCAACCCCUGCCGUUAGUAGCCAGCGAGUAAAGUCGGGCACUCUAAUGGGACUGCCGGGGACAACCCGGAGGAAGGUGGGGAUGACGUCAAAUCAUCAUGCCCCUUAUGGUCUGGGCUACACACGUGCUACAACGGCGCAAACAAAGGGAAGCGAAGUCGUGAGGCAGAGCAAAACCCAAAAAAGGCGUCCCAGUUCGGACUGUAGUCUGCAACCCGACUACACGAAGCCGGAAUCGCUAGUAAUCGCGGAUCAGAAUGCCGCGGUGAAUACGUUCCCGGGUCUUGUACACACCG